rnacentral:tRNA from 2 species
GCCUGGCUGGCUCAGUUGGUAGAGCAUGUGACUCUUGAUCUCAGGUUUGUGAGUUUGAGCCUCAUGUUGGGCA